rnacentral:misc_RNA from 1 species
GUGUGCAGGCUGAUAUGUAACAAAACCAUUCCAACAAAAUGGUCUUACAAGGCAAGUUGACCUAAGGGCCUAAACUUCAAAUUGAAUAUUUUUCAAUACUUUAGUUAAUAUGACCUUAUGCUCACCAUAAACGGUUGAACUACAGGCUCACUGAAAUAAAACUUGACCUGUGCACCUUUGACGUCCAUAUUGUAAUGAUGAUCACAACAGCAGCUCCUAAUUUAUAUUCAAAUACUUCCAUUUUUCUAAUUAGACAAGCUGAUAGAAUGUGAAUAUUUGAUAAUAAUAUUUGGACUUAAGGUUUUGCCGUGCGACAGAUACUUAUUAAAGUCAGGAAAGAAAUUGUGAUGUCAAAUAUAAAAAUAUACAAGCAGAUGUGAAAGGUU